rnacentral:rRNA from 1 species
CAGUCGCCGCGGUAAUACGGAGGGUGCAAGCGUUAAUCGGAAUUACUGGGCGUAAAGCGCACGCAGGCGGUCUGACAAGUCAGAUGUGAAAUCCCCGGGCUUAACCUGGGAACUGCAUUUGAAACUGUCAGGCUGGAGUCUUGUAGAGGGGGGUGGAAUUCCAGGUGUAGCGGUGAAAUGCGUAGAGAUCUGGAGGAAUACCGGUGGCGAAGGCGGCCCCCUGGACAAAGACUGACGCUCAGGUGCGAAAGCGUGGGGAGCAAACAGGAUUAGAUACCCCUGUAGUCUCUGUCUCUUAUAC